GUGACCUUCUACCUUUUAAUUCACUGUUUGC
rnacentral:piRNA from 1 species